ensembl:lncRNA
CCGCCCGCGCAGUCUCUGUGCUUGCCAGAACUCUCACAGGUGGGCCACACCCAACACCCAACACUGACCACCAGGCGCCAGCAUCGCAGCAGGGAGACCUGACCUGUGUUUCCCUGGAGGUGGGCAUUGGACCCACACUGGACCGGCCCAGAACUGCCCUCCCGUGUGGGGCCAGCCCGGCUCCACCCCUGCGCCUCCUGUAAACCCAGACAGGCCGGAAGGAGAGCAGGGCUAGGGUCCACAGAUGUCCAUCCCAAACGCUCUCACUGGGCCUGUCCACUCAUGUCGGCCCAGGAGGGACAGGGUGUCCCUGGAAACCCCAGGAAAGCACGGGGGGGCCCAGGGCCUCCUGGAACCAGAACUGGCUCUGGGAGCUGGAAACUCCGCAUCCCCCCAGGCCUCACAGCACGUCUUCCCCCUGGUGCCUGAGCUGCCCACUCCUCUCCUCUCGGCCUGAGGACACAGCCAUGAUGCCACGAGGGGCCCAUGUGACGCUCUUCCUGCAUUGCCCUCCUCCGCGGGGCAUCUCCCUCUCUUCCUGGCCCAGAUACCUGCGGGGACAUCCGACUGGCCCAGCCCAUCUUUCCGUACCAGGCCGCCAGGCACAGCCAGCCUGCACGUGACCUGCCUUCACAUCGGGUGUCAAGCAGAGACUGGAAGUGGCUUUCCUUCACGACAGCUCUGGCCAUCACCUCUCACUCCAUCACUGAGGAGGCUUUGAAAAUUUUGACUUGUAAAUCCCCCAGUGGAUGUGUCAAAUAUGUCAACAGGCCUGUGACCUGGAAGUGCAUGUUUGGGGGCAGCCGCUGUGGCUGUGGGCUGGGCGCUGGCGCCAGGAGCCAGCCUGGGCGUCUGCAGUGCCCCCUUCUCCGGCCAGGAGCCCAGGUCAGCUCACAUUCACUCCCAGUGGGAACUGAACAGACAGGUUUCUCACCUCCCAGAGGAAAAAAAGUUUGCUAAGCCUCUGGUUUCACUGCCCAGAUAGUGAGGACUCCCUGCUCACUUCUGCUCUCC